CGCGCCCGCCCGGGCAGGAGCUAUGAACGCUGCCCGGGGGCUGCCGGCAAAACCCGGACCGGACUCGCCGCUCCCUCCUCCCCCCAACCCCCUCCACCUCGGCUCCCCUCCCUCCUCCCGCCGCCUCCCUCCCAGCGCAGCUCGGGCCACUUGGACGCCGCGGGCUCUGAGGCCGGAGCUGCAGCCGCUGCGCCUCGAGCUCCCCGCGCCCUGACGCGGUCCACCCAGGCUCAGCUCCCUUGCGCGCCCCGUCUUCGCCUAUUUCCCGCAACUUUACAAAAAAAAAAAAAAAAGGACGACCUCCCCGCUUUGGUGAGGCGGUCUGGGUUUAGAGACGCACCUCCGGGGAAAUCUGCUAUCUUUCUGCCCCCUCUAGAGCGGGGCCAGAAGCUUCGAGGACCGGGAGGGAGAAUUUGGCCGCGCCCCCCAGCUCAGGCAGGCAUCAGCCUCAACUCUUGAGUCCCGGGGCUAAAACGACUACGUACAUUUGGUGCCCUGAGACCAUGGCCUACGCACUCAAAACCCGAAACAAUGCUUGGAACAGCAGCGCUCAAUAGGUACUGAUUGAAAGACAGAAGGAAAACUCAGCCUUGCCAGAGUAGGCGCCCAGUGGGGACAGAGUUGGGCCCGCAUAUCCCGCUUUCACUCCAUCAGUGGCCUCCAUAUGCCCAUCUUAGGCUAAUUAAUCCUGCUGCUGCAGAUGUCUUCACCUCACGUACCCAUGGUGCAAGCCCCGGGCUCAUAUAAUCCCAACUGCAUAUAAUCCCAAAGUGGAAGUUUUCUCCAAUUCUUUGGGAUUCGUGGGGGCGGAUUUGUGCAAGGCCGACCUUCCUCUGCGAGGCGAAGAAAACGCAGUCCCCAGACCCAAGCAGGGGAGGGAGAGGGGGAGGGCGGUUGGGGAAGUCAGCCUAGGGUUAAACGUUACAGCCUGAGAUCGAUUGGGGCCCAGAUAACAGGGAGUUAACUGUGGCGAUCCGGGCGCCUGCAGCCACAGGCGCGGCCUCGGUGGGAGAAGCGAAACUGUCUCCCACCUCGCUGCUUCCUCUCCUCUGCUCUGCGCAGCCUGGCUGUCUCCGAGGCUGGCGCGAGGGCUUAUGGAGCAUGGAUCUCCUGGCAGCAGCAGCUGGUGCCCACCUUCCACGCCUUCUAUAUGUGGCCUUGGGGCCUUGACCCAGCCGGGGUGGGGUGGGGGGAGGUGUCAAAGGGCAGAGCUCAUCUGGAAUGUGUUGCCUCUCUGCCACUCCUGAUAUCCAAGACCACACGAAGUGACCCCUCCCCAGACAUCGUGGACACCUGCUCCCAACCAGUUCCUUCCGAAUGCUGAGAAGUGGUCUCCCUUAACUACUAUGCCAAGAAAUGGCUCCCUUGGGGAGGCGUUUAGUCUCUCUCCUCCUUGCCAGCAGUCCUUUUAAUGCCCCCCUCCAAACAAACAUCCCAUGUGAGUAAAAGUAAGGUGCUUGCUAUGGAAACCGUUUUAAGACGCCCAUCACCCCCAGAAGAUCACUUCCAAACUGCUUAAAGAUAGGUAUGCUGGGCCUCAGUGUGAAUGUCAGGCACUGUGUUGGGCACUGACCGUGCAAGGAAAAAGGAAGCAAAAGCCCAGGUGUAGGAUCUCCAAGCAUUUAACUCACCUCCAUCUACCUUUUCUGGGGAAGCUGAGGCACAGACUGUGAGGGAGGACCUGCUCCCUGGGAGUCAGCAGCAGGUCUCAGAGGGUUAGGAUCCAUGAAGUCAAACUCUAUUCCACAGAUCUCCUGAAGCCUAACGCCAGUACAGAGUCAGGUCAUGCACGCCCCACAAAAAGCUUUAUGCUGGGGUCCAUGGCAGAGGGUGGGUAGUAAUUCUACUUUAGGGAACUGCUGACUAUUACCCACUUUUUUUUCAGACUUAUGCCUCCACCCCCACCCCCAACUCAGGCGGGAGGCCAGGGAUCCACAGGCUGCAAUGGAGGAAGGCCAGGUGGUCCCAGUGGUGAUGGCUUCCUCAGGGAAGGGGUGUUGACUUGUCUGGCCCAGUUUAGGGGGUGGAUCUUGGAGUUUUCCCUUGCUGGAAAUUAACACCUUGGGAGGGAGACCUAGACUGUCACCUAUCCAACCCAUAUGGGAGCCACAGAGGAAAAGGACAGAAUUGUCCACACAGAAAGUGUUACAGAAACAGAAAAUGUCAUGUGCAAGCCAUCCACAAAGAACUCUCCACCACAGAUGCCAAUGAGACAAGCGGGGGACAUCCAGGAAGGAUGGGGUGAGGAUCUCUGCCCUUGGGUGAGACUGUCCCCACCACAGCCCCCUUCCCCAAGAAGAAGGGAAGCUUGGUUCACUAUUCUCCCACCUCUGCCUACCUCAAAAAGGAGAAUUGAAGUCUCACCUUGCUAUUAAACUUUUUGCUGAGUUUUUUGAACCAAUCAGCCUUCAAGUCAGGAAGAAGCUCCUUCAGUCUCCAGCACCGCUGGGGGAGAUGGCCCCUGCAUCACCAGCCUUGUCUUCUAGGGAGGGGUGCGUCCACCCGGGACCCUGGAGUGUGCUCUCCUGGAUCCUGCUGAUAAUACCCAUGGCUGGUAUUUGUGCAGCCCUUACCCUGAGCAGGGCAUUGUGCUAAACAGUUAAGGUACAUUAUCUUAUUUAGCCCUUAUAGCAGCCCCUGCAAUAAUGUCAUCCCCAUUAUUCAGAUGAGGAAACUGAAAUGAGAUUGGCAUCAGAGCUGUUCUCAAACCCCUGAGGCCAUGUGCUAUUCUAGGGAGGCUUUCCACAGCCUCCAGUGAGGCUCAUCUGCUUCACAUCCUGCAGUGGUUCCUCACAGACUACCCUACUCAGCCUGGCUUCCCUAACUGACUCUCUUCCCUGCCAGGCCCUGCUGACCAAUGCCAUCUAACACUGGCAGUUCCCUCUGACACCCCAAGACUCCUCUCCAGAUUUCCAGAGCUUUGCAUGUACCAUUCCCUCUGCCAAGAUAGGCCUCAUCAAGCUCACCUCAUGAACUCCUCAUGGAAGACCAGGAGCACAUAUCACCUGGGAACCAUCUCAGACUGCCACUUCCAGCCUGAGUUUGGGCCAUACCUACAGGGCCACCACUAGCCUUUGUGCAAAUCAGAAAAAGGUACCCACUUUUGGCAGAUACAGGAAACCAUGAAGGAGGUCACAGACUGCCUUUCAGCUUCCUAGCUCCCUUUGCUAGGUGCCUUUUUGCAGUGCAUGCACAGGACAGAUGUACUCUGUGGCCUGGCUUUGGGUCCUUCAUCUGGCUUUGGGACCCCUCCUAUGGCCACAGUGACCACAAUGCACAGAAAUAGCUUUUAUUUGCUCAUCUCACUACUUGUCCCCUCGCCACCACCUCCCGCCAUGAAAAUUCUUUGAAGGUAAGGAGGAGUCCCCUACCUGCCUUGGGCCCGAAGCUUGGCCUCCAAAGAGGUACCAGUAAUAACAAUUGUAGCCAGAAUCUUUCUGAGCUCUUGCUUGUCAGGGACCAUGCUAAUUGCUUUUUGAACAUAGGCUUAUUAAAUCCACAGGCUUGGACACCUGUGUGAGGUUACAAAGUAGCAAAACCAGGAUUUCAAUCCAUGCCUUGUCUGAGGCAUUUUCCAUGACUGCCAUUUAUCUGCUAAUAUCUGUCAUUGAUUAAACAUCCAGUGACUGGAAAUGGCCACAUGGAGAGGAGUGUGGGAGUUAGGAUCUCCAAUAAAGAUGGCCAAUUUGGAACUCAGUCUAAGGUUUACCCUUCUUUGGGCCCCAGUUCUGUCACCUGUAUCACAAAGGAUGGGAGCAAAGGCAUUUGAAACCCUGCCUGCUGGGGCAGGGCACAGGAUAGUGUUCAGUGGGGUCAUGCUGGACUGUGACCUCAGCCAAAAUCCCAGGGCAGGCCUGGGGGUGCAAACACGGGCAGAGGCAGGGAGGAGCCUAACCGCACCAGACUGUGGCCCCGGGCCUUUGGGUCUGGGCCCUCACGCACUGACCACUGGACUUUAGGUCCUCCCCACCCCACCCCCAUGACGUCUGAAGGAGCAGAGAGCUGUGAAAUGAAAAUUCAAAAAGCCAAGUCUCUCAAGUAACCCAGGCUUGCCCAUUCCUGAGAAGUCAGUUUGGUGGCCAAUGCCUGGCCUUGACCUGUGUAAACAGAGGGGAAGGGAUGAGGACAGAAGGAAGACUCCAGUCCCAGAACAAAAUGACUCUGGGGACAGAGGCUGAGAGAAAGCAGGAAGCAAGCUAUAUUUCCCAUUGCCCAGGCACAGCUACAUACACGCCAUAGACAACCAGAUACAGCCCUGUUCUCAGUGAGGCACAGGGAACUCAGCCUGUAUAUGGGAUAUUGAUGGGGAGAGGGACAGUUUGGGGGCUGUUGUGCCCCUGACAAUAACCCUUGGCUUCUCUAGACACAAUCAUGGUUCAACUCUGUCCUAUGGGAGUGGGACUGAGUGCUCCCAGAGGCCAAAGCUGUGGCUCCAGCCUCCCUGCCACACUUCAGGAAGAGGGAGGGAG
rnacentral:lncRNA from 10 species